GUGGGAUAGUCUAGUGGUUAGGGUGUUUGACUCUGAAAGGUUCUGGGUUCGAACCCCAUUGUCCACA